GCCGAAAUAGCUCAGUUGGGAGAGCGUUAGACUGUAGAUCUUAAGGUCCCUGGUUCGAUCCCGGGUUUCGGCA
rfam:Daphnia pulex DAPPTscaffold_330_Cont8777, whole genome shotgun sequence.